rnacentral:rRNA from 1 species
GGAAUCUUCGGCAAUGGACGAAAGUCUGACCGAGCAACGCCGCGUGAGUGAAGAAGGUUUUCGGAUCGUAAAACUCUGUUGGUAGAGAAGAACGUUGGUGAGAGUGGAAAGCUCAUCAAGUGACGGUAACUACCCAGAAAGGGACGGCUAACUACGUCNCA